CAGGCUUGUCAGAAGGAAUUGGCUUA
rnacentral:piRNA from 1 species